UACGUAGGGGGCAAGCGUUGUCCGGAAUCAUUGGGCGUAAAGAGCGUGUAGGCGGUCCGAUAAGUCCGCUCUGAAAGCCCGGGGCUCAACCCCGGGAGGCGGGCGGAUACUGUCGGGCUAGAGUCCGGAAGAGGCAAGUGGAAUUCCUGGUGUAGCGGUGAAAUGCGCAGAUAUCAGGAGGAACACCAAUUGCGAAGGCAGCUCGCUGGGACGUUACUGACGCUGAGACGCGAAAGCGUGGGGAGCAAACAGG
rnacentral:rRNA from 1 species